rnacentral:rRNA from 1 species
AUUUUCAGCGAUGGAUGUCUUGGCUCGCGCAACGAUGAAGGACGCAGUGAAAUGCGAAACGCAAUGUGAAUUGCAGAAUUCGGGGAAUCAUCAGAUUUCUGAACGCAAAUGGCACCUU